ensembl:lncRNA
GCUGAAAUGUUCCAGUGAUGCUCACCCUCCUGCUAACAGCUUUUGGCACAACGAAACAGGCGCUGAGCUGCAUAAAGGAAACAUCUACACUGUGCACAAUGUCUCUAGGCACACAGGAGGAAACCUGUUCUGCACUGCCAUCAAUGAAGAAGGACAACGCAAAUCAAAGCCAGUGAAGCUCAAUGUGUUAUAUGCUCCUGAGAUCAAAAUUGCCUCUUCGUGCUCCUCAGAAGGGAAUGUGGGAAAGUGUGUGUGCAUCGCAGAGUCCAGGCCUCCCAGCAUGGUCCAUUUUGUGCUUGCUGGCAAAGUCCUGCAAAGCACCAAAGUGGAGAAACAUGGCUUGCUCACCAUCGGGACCCUGCAGGCAGACGUCGGGUCUUCCAAGUUUGUGAGCUGUGUGGCCAACAACAGUCUGGGCAACGCCAACGUCACGCUCUCUUUGACUGUGAACGGUGACAUGCAGUAUAUGUUCAUCGGCAUCGGAGCAGGAGUGAUUUUGGUGCUACUUUUAAUAGCAGUGGGAGUUGCUAAGAAAUGUAGGGGGAGACCUGCAGACACACCAGCAUGUACCAUGAACAGCAUGAAGGCAGAGAAAGCUGUGGAUCUCCCUCAGUACGCCACAACGAAAAGAUUUCCCCCCAGUUCGGAAAAAGACAGCUAUGAUGAUGUAAGCUGCGGUGGCAUUUAUGCUAAUGAUCAUGUAUAUGGCAACAUGGAGGCUGAUGGGGAUGAUGCCAUAUACGCCAAU